UUUCCGGUUGAUCCUGCCGGACCUGACUGCUAUCGGAUUGAUACUAAGCCAUGCGAGUCUUUGUAGUAAUACAAGGCAGACGGCUCAGUAACGCGUAGUCAACCUACCCUAUGGACGGGAAUAAUCUCGGGAAACUGAGCAUAAUACCCGGCGUACCACCAUUCCUGGAAUGGUUGGUGGUUAAAAUGAUUCGUCGCCGUAGGAUGGGACUGCGACUUAUCGGCUUGUUGGUGAGGUAAAGGCCCACCAAGGCGAUUACAGGUACGGGCUCUGAGAGGAGAAGCCCGGAGAUGGGUACUGAGACACGGACCCAGGCCCUAUGGGGCGCAGCAGGCGAGAAAACUUUGCAAUGUGCGAAAGCACGACAAGGUUAAUCCGAGUGAUUUCUGCUAAAGGAAUCUUUUGCCAGUUCUAAAAAUACUAGUGAAUAAGGGGUGGGCAAGUUCUGGUGUCAGCCGCCGCGGUAAAACCAGCACCUCAAGUGGUCAGGAGGAUUAUUGGGCCUAAAGCAUCCGUAGCCUGCUCUGUAAGUUUUCGGUUAAAUCUAUAUGCUCAACGUAUAGGCUGCCGAAAAUACUGCAGUGCUAGGAAGUGGGAGAGGUAGACGGUACUCGAUAGGAAGGGGUAAAAUCCUUUGAUCUAUCGAUGACCACCUGUGGCGAAGGCGGUCUACCAGAACACGUUCGACGGUGAGGGAUGAAAGCUGGGGGAGCAAACCGGAUUAGAUACCCGGGUAGUCCCAGCUGUAAACGAUGCAGACUCGAUGAUGCAUUGGCAUAUAGCCAGUGCAGUGUCGCAGGGAAGCCGUUAAGUCUGCCGCCUGGGAAGUACGUACGCAAGUAUGAAACUUAAAGGAAUUGGCGGGGGAGCACCACAAGGGGUGAAGCCUGCGGUUCAAUUGGAUUCAACGCCGGGA
rnacentral:rRNA from 1 species